rnacentral:lncRNA from 1 species
UUUAAUUUGUACACUCCCAUGUGUUUUAGUAAUAACAACAACACUAAUAUGACAAAGGCAACUGAGUCUUAUGUAACUACAAUGCUAAAAUUAAAUUGAAAAUGUGAAAGAAAGCGGCGGUGGACGGCCUUAUUUCGUGGCACAAAUUAUUUGCAGCAAAGAUUAUGUAACAAUAAUUCAUAUCAUUCAAAGAAAGAAAUAUUACCGAAGAGAAUGAAGAAUACAACAAUGAUCAAGAAGAGGGAAUGAGGUGGAUGAACUUGAUCAAAUCGCGAGCUAAGUUGGAAUCGCAAAUUUAGGGUUUAUACUCCAUCGCAUGGGUGUUUCCAUGACUUCUCUUUUCUGCUUCUUCUGUCAAAUCGCAAAAAAUUAACAAUUUUAUUUUAUUUUAUAAAUUCAUCAUAAUUACAGUUAUGCCAUUAAUAAAAAUAACUUUUCCGUAUUUUUCUUUAAAAAAAAAUAAAAUUGAAAAAACAAAAAGCAAAACACUUUUUACAUGUUUUUUUUUAUUUUAAAAACUAUAAUAUUAAAAUUAAUUUUACAAAACAGUUUCUAAUGAAUAUCUAACCUAUAUAAUUUUAUUUUUUAUUUUUAAAUUUUUAAAAACUAAAAUAGAAUUUUUGAGAUUAAAAUCAAUCAGACUCGUAAUCUCUAAUCUCUUUCAGAUUCUUGUUUCUACAAUAUCAAAAAUGUUGACAGAAUUAACAGAUGACAUAAUCCUUAGCAUAUUAUGGAAGGUUGAAGAAGACCCACGUGGUUUGGCUCGUCUUUCAUGUGUCUCCAUAAAACUCUGUUAUCUUAUCCGAGAUUUUUGUUGGAACAAAAAAUCUUCAUCCACCAUCCCUUAUGAACUUCGUUCUUCAUCUUCUUCAUAUUUUUCCCUUCACAAACUACCCUUUUGUUGUCCUGGGCCUAUUCACGCUGGUAUUCUCUUUGAUACCUACGAUGGUUUCUCCGACAAACAACACCGUCAUCUUCUCUUCAUGUUCAACCACAAUCCCAUGAAAAUCCUUCUUAUUGGUCACUUUUUGAUUAUCUUUAUUAUGAUAUCCUCUGAUUCCGAAUAUCAACAACAGGAAUUCGACCAAACUCGACCAAUCUGAGAAUUCUCGUGUAUUAAAUUAGGGGUUAGAUUUCUCAAAAUUG